rnacentral:rRNA from 1 species
AGCAGCCACUCAUUAAAAGAGUGCGUAAUAGCUCACUGGUCGAGUGACUCUGCGCCGAAAAUUUAACGGGGCUAAACUAUACACCGAAGCUUGGGAUACAUCUAAUGUAUGGUAGGAGAGCGUUCUGUAUGGGGAGAAGUCGUAGCGAAAGCGGCGGUGGACUAUACAGAAGUGAGAAUGCCGGAAUAAGUAGCGAGAAUUAAGUGAGAAUCUUAAUGGCCGAAAGUCUAAGGUUUUUGGAGGAAGGUUCGUCCGCUCCAAGUAAGUCGGGAGCUAAGGUCAGGCCGAAAGGCGUAGCCGAUGCACAUACGGUUGAUAUUCCGUAACCAUCUGUAAUUUAAGCAAAGGGACACUUCAAAAGGGUGUGACCCGGGCGUUGGUUGACCCGGGCGUAAGGGACCGAAAUUAGAGUAGGGAAGCACACUUAGCUGAAGGCGAGAAAAGCUUUGCGUAUAGAAACAGAUGCCCGUACCGCAAACCGACACAGGUGGACAGGAAGAGAAUUCUAAGGCCAGCGGGAGAAGGGUAGUUAAGGAACUCGGCAAAUUGACUCCGUAACUUCGGAAUAAGGAGUGCUCGAAAGAGCCGCAGAGAAUAGGCCCAGGCGACUGUUUAGCAAAAACACAGGUCUCUGCCAAAUCGAAAGAUGAAGUAUAGGGGCUGACACCUGCCCGGUGCCGGAAGGUUAAGAGGAGGAGUGAGAGCUCCGAAUUGAAGCCCCGGUAAACGGCGGCCGUAACUAUAACGGUCCUAAGGUAGCGAAAUUCCUUGUCGGGUAAGUUCCGACCCGCACGAAUGGUGUAACGAUCUGGGCACUGUCUCAACUACCCACCCGGCGAAAUUGUAGUACCGGUGAAGAUGCCGGUUACCUGCGGCAAGACGGAAAGACCCCAUGGAGCUUUACUGUAGCCUGAUAUUGGGUUUCGGAAAUCUAUGUACAGGAUAGGCGGGAGACUUGGAAACAUGAGCGUCAGCUUGUGUGGAGUCGAUGUUGGGAUACCGCCCUUAGGUUUCUGGAAUUCUAACCUGCGGCCGUGAAUCCGGUCGGGGGACAUUGUCAGGUGGGCAGUUUGACUGGGGCGGUCGCCUCCGAAAAGGUAACGGAGGCGCUCAAAGGUUAGCUCAGCACGGACGGAAACCGUGCCUCUGAGUGUAAACGCAAAAGCUAGCCUAACUGCGAGGGUGACGGCCCGAGCAGUAACGAAAGUUGGAGUUAGUGAUCCGGCGGUAUGUGAAUGGAAAUGCCGUCGCUCAACGGAUAAAAGCUACCCUGGGGAUAACAGGCUGAUCUCCCCCAAGAGUCCACAUCGACGGGGAGGUUUGGCACCUCGAUGUCGGCUCAUCACAUCCUGGGGCUGUAUUCGGUCCCAAGGGUUCGGCUGUUCGCCGAUUAAAGUGGUACGCGAGCUGGGUUCAGAACGUCGCGAGACAGUUCGGUCCCUAUCUGUCGUGGGCGCAGGAUAUUUGAGGAGCUCUGUCCUUAGUACGAGAGGACCGGGAUGGACGUACCUCUGGUGCACCAGUUGUCAUGCCAAUGGCACGGCUGGGCAGCUAUGUACGGAACGGAUAAACGCUGAAAGCAUCUAAGCGUGAAGCCGACUCCAAGAUUAGAUAUCCCAUCGUAUAACGAGUAAGACCCCUUGAAGACUACGAGGUUGAUAGGCUGCGUGUGUAAGUGCCGUGAGGCAUUCAGCUUGGCAGUACUAAUAGGUCGAGGGCUUGACCA